rnacentral:rRNA from 1 species
UGGCCCUACGGGGCGCAGCAGUGGGGAAUAUUGCACAAUGGGGGAAACCCUGAUGCAGCGACGCCGCGUGAGUGAAGAAGUAUUUCGGUAUGUAAAGCUCUAUCAGCAGGGAAGAAAUAGCGACCUUUGGGUCGCCAGACGGUACCUGAUUAAGAAGCCCCGGCUAACUACGUGCCAGCAGCCGCGGUAAUACGUAGGGGGCAAGCGUUAUCCGGAUUUAUUGGGUUUAAAGGGUGCGCAGGCGGAAGAUCAAGUCAGCGGUAAAAUUGAGAGGCUCAACCUCUUCGAGCCGUUGAAACUGGUUU